CGUCCCCUUCCUCAUUCAUCUUGAUAGAACUGUGAUUUGGAGGAACCGAUUUCGUAAUGAUCUUCGUAAAGUGUUAAUAUCGUUUUAACUUCAAUAUUCUAGUAUGAUUUAACCUCAAUGGGUUCCAAAACUUAAUCCCGAGUGUGCUGCUGCACAAAGUUCUGGGCUUGCUGUGCAAUUGCUUGUAACAUGUUCUAAUUGGAUCCUUCUAUGAAAAAUCAUGAGUUCAAAGUGAUGCUUAUAUUUCUAUGGUUCAUAUGAUUUUACCUUGCCUUUCGAAUAAACUUUACACCAAACUGCCGAGCAAAUGUUUGUCUGAUAGUUCGUAAUAUAAUAAUUUUUUGCUUUCUAGUUGACCUUGUGGCAGCUUCCUAUGUCAAUGCUUACUAACACUGUUGACUGUUGCUAUUGCUGCUGCUAAUAGAGUUAGAGAUUGCUUCCGCUCCUUUUAUUUUAUUUUUCUAAAGACUUUUAGGGGUUUCAGAUUUCUCAUUCUUGAAAACCUAGCUGUGAGUUUCCCAUAGACUUGCCUUCCAUACUAUAUUCUUGAAUUAACUGAGCAUUGGUGGUGACGGUGACUAUGAUUAGAGCAUUAGUGAGCUUAGUACUUAACAGUUUAUUUCUUUCUUUGUUCCUAAAUAAAACAUACCCUUUAACAGUGGUUUGAUUCAAUAGUUGGUAUGCAUGCCUUGCAUAAACCUUAAUCUUGUGUUAAGGCUUAUUUCCCAAAUAAAGCAUGUCCAUCUUAAGCUUGAGGAAAUGAUCCUUUGUCUCUGGCUUUGCAUGUGACAAUUGUUCUUGCUGUCAAAGAUUUAAUUCUGGUUUUGCUUUGAUAAAAUGAACCAUUGGCCUUAGCUUUGCAUGAGAAAAACUUGUUUUAGUGGCAGUAAAUGUGUAGGUACUGUUUAAAUUCUAAAAUGUUUCAUAUUUAUAUAUUUUAUGCAUCUGUGAUUGAUUUUAGUUUCUGUAUAGGCAGAUUCUGUUUUGGGUUAUUAAAUUAGGUAACGGGAGUGAUUGUAUUACUUACAAUCUCCAUUUACUUAUAUAUACAAUUGGCAUUGGAGUAUCCUUUCACGCUCAAGCUGUUUCCUUGAUAGCGUAGCUCAAUGUCCAUGAUUUCAUUUAGUUUGACUUGGUGGUAUUGUGCUCUCCAGCUAAGGAGGCUGUUUUCCUUGUGUUAAGUUUGGUGAGGUUUCUUUUGUAGCAAAGGGGAAGCACGGAGCUUGAUUUGAAUAC